CUUUCCAAAAUGUGGUUUCAAUAUAUUUUAUGUAAUAUAAUAAUAAUAAUAAUAACUUUAUUUUUAUACCCCGCCCCAUCUCCCCGAAGGGACUCGGGGCGGCUUACAUGGGGCCUAGCCCGAUAAAACAAUCAAUAUCAGUAACUUGACUAUAAAAUAAUUAUACCAGUAAAACAUCAAUAGCAAUAAAACAAUCGUUAAAAUCGGCAAGAAGCAUACAAAAAACAUACAAUAUUAAAACAGGAGACUAAGUCAUAAAAUCCAGAACAGAAUGUGCCGGUAGAAAUGGACAAUAAAGUGCAAAAUAGCAUUGGCCAACAUCUCAGAAAAGGGGGCUAUUAUAAAAUGGGCAGAUGGAUCAGUCCAACAUCAAAUUAGGUGUCAACGGCCUUUUGGAAGAGCCAGGUUUUUAAGCUCCUACGAAAGGAGAGGAGGGUAGGGGCCUGCCUGAUCUCUCUAGGAAGAGAGUUCCAAAGCCGGGGGGCCACGACGGAGAAGGCCCUCUCUCUCGUCCCCACCAACCGCGACUGCGAGGGUGGUGGGAGCGAGAGAAGGGCCUCCCCCGAUGAGCGGAGAGAACGUGCGGGUUCAUAGGGGGAGAUGCGGUCUCUAAGGUAGGUGGGUCCCAAACCGUUUAGGGCUUUGUAGGUGAUAACCUGCACCUUGAAUUGGGCCCGGAAAGUAAACGGCAGCCAGUGGAGCUCCUUAAACAGAGGCGUUGAACACGCCCUGUAAUUCACUCCAGUUAGAAGCCUGGCUGCCGAUUGCUGUACUAGUUGUAAUUUCCGGGCCAUCUUCAAAGGCAGCCCCACGUAGAGCGCAUUGCAAUAGUCCAGUGUAGAGGUAACUAAGCCAUGGACCACCAUGGUCAGAUCAGACUUCUCGAGUGCAGUACCCCCAAGGCCCAUCCCAGAGAGCCGCCCCAGAAGGAUGCCAUGGUCGAUGGUAUCGAAAGCCGCUGAGAUGUCCAAGAGAACCAGCAGGGUCACACUCCCCCUGUCCAGCUCCCUGCGGAGGUCAUCCACCAAGGCGACCAAAGCCAUCUCAGUACUGAACCCAGGCCUGAAGCCAGACUGUGAU
rnacentral:lncRNA from 1 species